rnacentral:tRNA from 1 species
UCCGAGAUCGGCUAAUGGUAGGCCAGCAGACUCUGAAUCUGCUUAUCUUGGUUCGAAUCCAAGUCUCGGAA